rnacentral:tRNA from 1 species
GGCGGCGUAGCUCAGCUGGUUAGAGCAACGGAAUCAUAAUCCGUAUGUCCGGGGUUCGAAUCCCUGCGCCGCUACCA